UUUUUUUUUUUUUUUUUUUUGUAACCAACCGUCGGAUCCAUGGCGCCAUCUUCUGUUCCGGGGUGCCGCUCCCUUCAGAUCCCCUUUCUCAAAAUGGGCGUUUUCUUUCUGUUUGUUUGCUGCACAUGGGAAUUGCCUGUAGAGGGAAAGCGACAAGAGUCAAAUGAGAAAAUGAAAAAGCAAAAAAAAAAAAAAAAAGACAGAACAGCAGCAGUCCGAGAUGUGCGAAGGAAAAGGACGGAGGGAGGCUCUGCGCAUCUGAGACGGCCUGAAGAGCUCAAUCACAUUAUCAUGCAUGAAAUAAGAAGUUGUUUAAUGUGGCGUUGAGUGUAAAAGCCUUGAGUUUUUAAAGUGGAAUUAAAUGCACAUUUGCAAUUGAAUUUAGCCGCUCUUAUUCUUUUAUUAAAGUUAAAUGUAACAAA